rnacentral:rRNA from 1 species
GGUUUCGAUUAUGGCUCAGAUUGAACGCUGGCGGGAUGCUUUACACAUGCAAGUCCGGCAGCACGGACUUCGGUCUGUGGCGAGUGGCGAACGGCAGCAAUGUAUCGGAAACGUGCCCAGUAGCGGGGGAUAACUACGCGAAAGCGUAGCUAAUACCGCAAGGCUGCCCUUUCGGGAAAGCGGGGGACCUUCGGGCCUCGCAAUUAGAGCGGGCCGAUAUCGGAUUAGCUAGUUGGUGGGGCAACGGCUCACCAAGGCGACGAUCCGUAGCUGGUUUGAGAGGACGACCAGCCACACUGGGACUGGAGACACGGCCCAGACUCCUACGGAGGCAGCAGUGGGGAAUUUUGGACAAUGGGAAACUCCUGGAUCCAGCCAUCCCGCGUGUGCGAUGGAAGGCCUUCGGGUUGUAAAAGCACUUUGGCAGGGAAGAAACGGCACGGGAUAAUACCCGUGCAACUGACGGUACCUGCAGAAUAAGCACCGGCUAACUACGUGCCAGCAGCCGCGGUAAUACGUAGGGUGCAAGCGUUAAUCGGAAUUACUGGGCGAAGCGUGCGCAGGCGGUUCGGAAAAAGAAAGAUGCGGAAAUCCUGUGAGCUUAACUUUGGAACUGCAUUUUUAACUACCGAGUUUGAGUGUGUCAGGGAGGGAGGUGGAAUUCCGCGUAGCAGUGAAAUGCAGAUAUGCGGAGGAACACCUGAUGGCGAAGGCAGCCUCCCGGGAUAACACUGACGCUCAUGCACGAAAGCGUGGGGAGCAAACAGGAUUAGAUACUCCCGGUAAGUCCACGCCCUAAACGAUGUCAACUAGCUGUUGGGGCCUUCGGCCUGGUAUGCAGCUAACGUAAAGGGUGAAGUUGACCGCCUGGGGAGUACGGUCGCAAGAUUAAAACUCAAAGGAAUUGACGGGGACCCGCACAAGCGGUGGAUGAUGUGAUUAAUUCGAUGCAACGCGAAAAACCUUACCUACCUUUGACAUGUCUGGAAUCCCGAAGAGAUUUGGGAGUGCUCGCAAGAGAACCGGAACACAGGUGCUGCAUGGCUGUCGUCAGCUCGUGUCGAGAUGUUGGGUUAAGUCCCAACGAGCGCAACCCUUGUCAUUAGCGAGCCACGAAAGGGCACUCUAAUGAGACUGCCGGUGACAAACCGAGGAAGGUGGGGAUGACGUCAAGUCCUCAUGGCCCUUAUGGGUAGGGCUUCACACGUCAUACAAUGGUCGACAGAGGGUCGCCAACCCGCGAGGGGGGAGCCAAUCCCAGAAACCCGAUCGUAGUCCGGAUCGCAGUCUGCAACCUCGACUGCGUGAAGUCGGAAUCAACAGUAAUCGCGGAUCAGCAUGUCGCGGUGAAUACGUUCCCGGGUCUUGUACACACCGCCCGUCACACCAUGGGAGUGGGUUUUACCAGAAGUAGUUAGCCUAACCGUAAGGAGGGCGAUUACCACGGUAGGAUUCAUGACUGGGGUGAAGUCGUAACAAGGUAA